AGUGAACGCUGGCGGUAGGCCUAACACAUGCAAGUCGAACGGCAGCACAGUAAGAGCUUGCUCUUACGGGUGGCGAGUGGCGGACGGGUGAGGAAUACAUCGGAAUCUACUUUUUCGUGGGGGAUAACGUAGGGAAACUUACGCUAAUACCGCAUACGACCUACGGGUGAAAGCAGGGGAUCUUCGGACCUUGCGCGAUUGAAUGAGCCGAUGUCGGAUUAGCUAGUUGGCGGGGUAAAGGCCCACCAAGGCGACGAUCCGUAGCUGGUCUGAGAGGAUGAUCAGCCACACGGGAACUGAGAAACGGUCCAGACUCCUGAGGGAGGCAGCAGUGGGGAAUAUUGGGGAAUGGGCGCAAGCCUGAUACAGCCAUACCGCGUGAGUGAAGAAGGCCUUCGGGUUGUAAAGCCCUUUUGUUGGGAAAGAAAAGCAGCAGGUUAAUACCCCGCUGUUCUGACGGUACCGAAAGAAUAAGCACCGGCUAACUUCGUG
rnacentral:rRNA from 1 species